AAAGCAGGGGACCUUCGGGCCUUGCGCUAUCAUAUGAGCCUAGGUGGGAUUAGCUGGUUGGUGAGGUAAUGGCUCACCAAGGCGACUAUCCGUAACUGGUCUGAGAGGAUGAUCAAUCACACUGGAACUGAGACACGGUCCAAACUCCUACGGGAGGCAGCAGUGGGGAAUAUUGGACGAUGGGCGAAAGCCUGAUCCAG
rnacentral:rRNA from 1 species